CCCAGUCCUCCCAUAAGUGGUAUUUACAUUAGUUUUGCUCUUGAAAGAUGAACCUUAAGCAGAAAUUCCCAGCUGUGAUUUUUCUUCUCCAACUUCCCGUAUUUGACGCGAGCUGUGUAGAUGGUGAAUGCUAGCUCCUUGACCGCUGAAAGGUACAUGCAGUCUUCCCUCUGUGAUCCCUUUAGCUGCUGAAAUAUUCCACGUCCCCAGAGCCAGAGGCCCAAGAAAGAAAACCAGCUGGGACUCUGAUGACAAUGACCCCCAAGUGGCUGGUCCAGAGCAACGAAGUGGCUGUGGUUCUGAUGAUUUCUUCUGCAUGGAUGACUUCCAAUUCCAUCCUGUCCUCUGACGUCGCUUCUGAGUCCUCAUCCUGCAGACAGCUCCACUGGGGUGUGGGUCCCUACCAGCCCCUGAAUCUCCUGCUCACACACCUACCGGAUUAGCUUCAUUGCUUCUUUCUCUGAAUGACACGAUUGUCCUUCCAGUUUCUCAGGUACAAGACAUUAAUCCAUGUCUGAUCAGUCUGAGUAUUUUUUCUUUCUUUUCUCUCCCAUGAUUACUGUCUAUUCAAGUCCCUG
rnacentral:lncRNA from 1 species